rnacentral:rRNA from 1 species
GACGUAUUCUGAAAGGGAUACUUCUUCGGACAAUAUACAAGGUGCUGCAUGGUUGUCGUCAGCUCGUGCCGUGAGGUGUCGGGUUAAGUCCCAUAACGAGCGCAACCCCUAUCAUUAGUUGCCAUCAGGUCAAGCUGGGGACUCUAAUGAAACUGCCUACGCAAGUAGUGAGGAAGGUGGGGAUGACGUCAAAUCAGCACGGCCCUUACGUCCAGGGCUACACACGUGCUACAAUGGCCGAUACAGAGGGCAGCUACCUGGUGACAGGAUGCAAAUCUCCAAAGUCGGUCUCAGUUCGGAUCGGAGUCUGCAACCCGACUCCGUGAAGUUGGAUUCGCUAGUAAUCGCGCAUCAGCCAUGGCGCGGUGAAUACGUUCCCGGGCCUU